rnacentral:rRNA from 1 species
AGAGUUUGAUCCUGGCUCAGGAUGAACGCUAGCUACAGGCUUAACACAUGCAAGUCGAGGGGCAGCAUGGUCUUAGCUUGCUAAGGCCGAUGGCGACCGGCGCACGGGUGAGUAACACGUAUCCAACCUGCCGUCUACUCUUGGACAGCCUUCUGAAAGGAAGAUUAAUACAAGAUGGCAUCAUGAGUCCGCAUGUUCACAUGAUUAAAGGUAUUCCGGUAGACGAUGGGGAUGCGUUCCAUUAGAUAGUAGGCGGGGUAACGGCCCACCUAGUCUUCGAUGGAUAGGGGUUCUGAGAGGAAGGUCCCCCACAUUGGAACUGAGACACGGUCCAAACUCCUACGGGAGGCAGCAGUGAGGAAUAUUGGUCAAUGGGCGCAGGCCUGAACCAGCCAAGUAGCGUGAAGGAUGACUGCCCUAUGGGUUGUAAACUUCUUUUAUAAAGGAAUAAAGUCGGGUAUGGAUACCCGUUUGCAUGUACUUUAUGAAUAAGGAUCGGCUAACUCCGUGCCAGCAGCCGCGGUAAUACGGAGGAUCCGAGCGUUAUCCGGAUUUAUUGGGUUUAAAGGGAGCGUAGAUGGAUGUUUAAGUCAGUUGUGAAAGUUUGCGGCUCAACCGUAAAAUUGCAGUUGAUACUGGAUAUCUUGAGUGCAGUUGAGGCAGGCGGAAUUCGUGGUGUAGCGGUGAAAUGCUUAGAUAUCACGAAGAACUCCGAUUGCGAAGGCAGCCUGCUAAGCUGCAACUGACAUUGAGGCUCGAAAGUGUGGGUAUCAAACAGGAUUAGAUACCCUGGUAGUCCACACGGUAAACGAUGAAUACUCGCUGUUUGCGAUAUACUGCAAGCGGCCAAGCGAAAGCGUUAAGUAUUCCACCUGGGGAGUACGCCGGCAACGGUGAAACUCAAAGGAAUUGACGGGGGCCCGCACAAGCGGAGGAACAUGUGGUUUAA